GAUACGUGAAACUCUACAUCUGUAGCCGGAUGUCUGUAAUUAUAGAAGCUUGCAAUUGUAGUUGCUGUGACAUGAUUAUAUUUUCAAGGAUUCGUCCAGGCAAAUAUAAAGUCGAAAAAUAGUUUUAACAGCUUGAAUUUAUAUGUCUGGCCAAACAGUAGUACAGUACAGUUAACUGAGCCACCUGAUCAAUUCCCACCAAGAAAACUGUAGGAAGCAAAUCAUAUUAUGCAGAGGAACACAACGUUGCGUCGAAGAAUGAUCGGAGAUUAUUUCUGUGAUGAUGAAGUUGCUGAUGGAAAGGGCACUUACUUGCAACGUAACAAUGGCAACAUGGUCCUUGUCUUCCCAUGGAUGAUAAAGUUGCUGAUGGAAAGGGCACUUACUUGGAACGUAACAAUGGCAACAUGGUCCUUGUCUUCCCAUGGUACUUCUUUUUUACUAAUACUGCAAGGCAACCAAAGAAUUUGUGCAGACAAAAUUAAAGUUUGAAACAGCAAAAAAUCAUAUACCACAAUGAAACUGGAAAAUAGCAGGAGUAUAUAAGAUUUAUCGUUGCUACUCAAAUGGAAAAUAAAUAUGAGAAUAUUUUAUAUAGACUUGCAUAUGCCAAUUAAGCACUCCAGAUUUUGAUUUAAAAAACUUUAAUUGAAAAGGUGGAAGGUGAACAAUUUAUUAUUAUUUUUUCUAUCUUCUGAUUCACAUGAAAUCUGCAUCGUAGAUUCCAUGAAUUUCCAAAUCUGUGACAUUUAAAUCAGUACAAAUCGUUGAUUUGUGCCUACCGCUGAUAAUUUGUAAAGGAGUAGUGAUUUUAGAUUUCGACUUGAUGAGAGUACUCCUAAUUUCAGUUCUAAAAAGAGGGUGUGCUACCUUGAUCAAACCAAGGAGCGAUAUUCAAGAAGAGAGCAUUUAGUGUUUUUGUCAAUACACCAUGUUUGGCCUAUGUAAUAAACAUAUUGGCAAAAGUAAUAAGCUCAUCAAUAUAUAUCUAACACCUCAACUAACUCACCUACCUUGAAGUUUAAACUUAGUUAAUGUUAAAUAUAAUCAUGUUUAUUAAUGUCAUUUACAAAAAAAAUUCCCUCUCCGUCUCUUCCCUUAUUCUUGCUCUUCCCCAUUUUUAGUCACCCUUCCCAUUAUUCUCUCUUCUCCAUUUCUUAAUUAUCAACUAGGCCACUACUUAUUUUUGUAAUUGUUUUAUUAUCAUGUUCCACUAAUUUUCCACCUUUCUCUUCUUUUUUCUCCAAAAUUAUUGAUCGAGACCGAUAUCAAUAUUUGAUCAAAAUAUAUAUAUACCCAUCCUCCAGAGUACCAAAGUUAAACUUAACUUAAGUUGGUUUAGUUAUGAUGAAAAGAUAGUUUAGUCUUUUUAUCAGUAAACUUGUUCACUGAUUCCGGCUGUAUUCAAGAACUUAUCCCUCUAUUUAUGUCUUUUUUUUGAAAGUGUCAAUAUUUGUCUCUUGAACACUUAUAAUAGAAACAAUAAUAAUCAAAUCAUUGGACAACCGCUAAAUAGAUUUAAGAACUAUACUACCCAUCACUCUAUCACAGCAUAUAUAUUCAUAAUAAACAUGUCCGUGAGGAUUGAGAUCACAAUUAUAUGGUUACAAAUUUUAAGUGAGUUGCUAUUAAAUGUUAUUUAGUAUAAUUUCCAAGUAUCUGAAGAGUCUCCUUAGAACUCUCAAUUAACCCUAAAAUGACCAUGGUUACAUUGGUGAACGUGUUUCGAGUGCCUCCACACAACAGGCUAUAUAAACACCCCACUAGUUACCCCCGAGUCACUCAGUUAAAACAAAACAACACUUGUCUUCUUCUUGUAAACACAAAUGGCAGAGGUGGAAAAUGUUGAAGCCAACUCCAGGUGGCACAUGCCCCGCAAGGGUAUGGUGAAGAUCAAUGUCCACGGUUGCUUCUUUGACAACCCAUUACCAAACGGCAAUGUUUCAGGCAUAGGAGCUGUCAUCAGAAAUAGCAGAGGUAAAAUAGUGAGGAUGCUCUCGGGUUCUUUAGGGAUACAAAACAGAAGGAUCAAUGAAUAUCAAGCUCUUUUGGAAAGUUGUAAGCGAUCUUUUGUCGAAGACUAGGAGCAUUUUAUCUUGGAAUCUGACCACCUCGACUCAUUCUAGGAAUGGAAGAACUCCUCUCUUGAAGGAGUGCACCCGAAUCAUGCCGAGAUGGUGCAGCAGCUUAACUAGAGAAGUGAUGACAGAAACAUCCAUAUGGAAGUCACUCUUUGUGAACCCAAUGCCAACACCCUGGCACAAUACCUUGCAUAAUAUGGAGUUCAACACUUCAAAGUUAUGGUCAUUAUGGCAGAGCCGUUCGGAAGAGUUUUCGAACUUUGGAGCCACGACAUGGGUCUGGGCUCUACUGAGCCAAGAUAUAUGGCUGUGCAUGAAGCUGAUAUUGAACUUGUUGUGCUCAAUGGAGAAGAAGCUCCAGUAGCAGAAGUUGAAGAUGAAGAGGCGUCCGUGGAUGCAAAUGGUGACAGAGUUGAGGUGAUAGAAUACAUGGACUAGCUUGCAUGCCUCACCAAGUCUGCUAACCUACGAAACAGCGUGGAGGUAGUCAGGGCUCAGGAGUUUGAGAUUUGGGGCAAUCAUCUUGCACGGCCGUCUACAGGGGAGGAAAGCGUUUCAGCAUGGUCCUUUCUUCCUCUACUUUGCGGACUUUAUAUUGAUUUUUUUUUAUUAAUUUCAAGAAUCCAGAAGUUCUUCCAGAUGCUGAAAUCUCAUUUGAUAACCUAAAACGUGCAUUUAGUGUUGCUGCAACUGGCUUCUUGUAAGCCUGUUUGUUCUGGGGGAGGUGAUCUGUAAAAAUAAUAAAAAUGAUGAGGGCCAUAUAUGAUUGAGUCGCAUAUGAUUGAGAUAUAUCUUCUAAUAUA